GAUGAAGAACGUAGCGAAAUGCGAUAAGUGAUGUGAAUUGCAGAAUUCAGUGAAUCAUCGAAUCUUUGAACGCACCUUGCGCCCUUUGGCUAUUCCGAAGGGCAUGCCUGUUUGAGUAUCAUGAACAUCUCAACUCCUCGCGGUUUGCCCGUGACGAGCUUGGACUUUGGGGGUCUUGCCGGCCUGUGGGUCGGCUCCUCUCAAAUGAAUCAGCUUGCCGGUGUUUGGUGGCGUCACAGGUGUGAUAACUAUCUACGCUUGUGGUUUUCCGCCAGGUAACCUCCAGCAAUGGGGGUUCACUGGAGCUCACAAAUGUCUUUCCUCGGUGAGGACAGCUUUUUGAACGUUUGAUCUCAAAUCAGGUAGGACUACCCGCUGAACUUAAGCAUAUCAAUAAGCGGAGGA
rnacentral:misc_RNA from 1 species